GAUUGCAGUGACGACUCGGAAAAUUCAAGCUCAACAGACCGGAAUGCAGGUUUCUCCUCUUGGGGGAAUUUGCGUGUCGACGACCCCGCUGAACUGAGCAAUC
rnacentral:snoRNA from 1 species